rnacentral:rRNA from 1 species
CCAAACUGUUGCCUCGGCGGGGUCACGCCCCGGGUGCGACGCAGCCCCGGAACCAGGCGCCCGCCGGAGGGACCAACCAAACUCUUUCUGUAGUCCCCUCGCGGACGUUAUUUCUUACAGCUCUGAGCAAAAAUUCAAAAUGAAUCAAAACUUUCAACAACGGAUCUCUUGGUUCUGGCAUCGAUGAAGAACGCAGCGAAAUGCGAUAAGUAAUGUGAAUUGCAGAAUUCAGUGAAUCAUCGAAUCUUUGAACGCACAUUGCGCCCGCCAGUAUUCUGGCGGGCAUGCCUGUCCGAGCGUCAUUUCAACCCUCGAACCCCUCCGGGGGGUCGGCGUUGGGGAUCGGGAACCCCUAAGACGGGAUCCCGGCCCCGAAAUACAGUGGCGGUCUCGCCGCAGCCUCUCCUGCGCAGUAGUUUGCACAACUCGCACCGGGAGCGCGGCGCGUCCACGUCCGUAAAACACCCAACUUCUGAAAUGUUGACCUCGGAUCAGGUAGGAAUACCCGCUGAACUUAAGCAUAUCAAUAAGCGGAGGAA